GCAUGUGUAGUGUAGUGGUUUGAGUGCUGGAUUGUGACUCUAGAGACCAGGGUUUGAUUCCCAACUUUGCU